rnacentral:rRNA from 1 species
AGAGUUUGAUCAUGGCUCAGAACGAACGCUGGCGGCAGGCUUAACACAUGCAAGUCGGACGGGCGCGAGCAAUCGCGUCAGUGGCAGACGGGUGAGUAACGCGUGGGAACAUACCCUCCGGUUCGGAAUAGCUCAGGGAAACUUGGAUUAAUACCGGAUACGGCUGAGAGGCGAAAGAUUGAUCGCCGGAGGAUUGGCCCGCGUUCGAUUAGCUUGUUGGUGAGGUAACGGCUCACCAAGGCGAUGAUCGAUAGCUGGUCUGAGAGGAUGAUCAGCCACAUUGGGACUGAGACACGGCCCAAACUCCUACGGGAGGCAGCAGUGGGGAAUAUUGGACAAUGGGCGCAAGCCUGAUCCAGCCAUGCCGCGUGAGUGAUGACGGCCUUAGGGUUGUAAAGCUCUUUCGCUCGGGACGAUAAUGACGGUACCGAGAUAAGAAGCCCCGGCUAACUUCAUGCCAGCAGCCGCGGUAAUACGAAGGGGGCUAGCGUUGUUCGGAAUUACUGGGCGUAAAGCGCGUGUAGGCGGGUCUUUAAGUCAGGGGUGAAAUGCCAAGGCUCAACCUUGGAACUGCCUUUGAUACUGGAGAUCUUGAGUCCGGGAGAGGUGAGUGGAACUGCGAGUGUAGAGGUGAAAUUCGUAGAUAUUCGCAAGAACACCAGUGGCGAAGGCGGCUCACUGGCCCGGAACUGACGCUGAGACGCGAAAGCGUGGGGAGCAAACAGGAUUAGAUACCCUAGUAGUCC